UUUAAGUGCAGUUGUGAGCUGAUUUUCGUGUCCAACGUUUCACCGUUCAUCUUGUUUGAAAAUUUUCUAUUAGUAGCAUUUUUAUUGUUAUUAGAUUAUAGAACAUGAACCGUACUUUAUGUAUGACUUAUUUUUUAAAAAAUUUUCAUAUUUUUUUAAAUAAGACGGAUGAUCAGACAUUGGACACGGAAACUCACAACUGCACUUAAA
rfam:Oryza meridionalis cultivar OR44 (W2112) chromosome 11, whole genome shotgun sequence.